rnacentral:rRNA from 1 species
UACGGGGGGUGCGAGCGUUGUCCGGAAUCACUGGGCGUAAAGGGCGCGUAGGUGGUCUGAUAAGGGUGUGGUGAAAGCCCGAGGCUCAACCUCGGAACUGCCUUCGAUACUGCGGGUCUCGAGUCCGGGAGAGGUGAGUGGAAUUCCUAGUGUAGAGGUGAAAUUCGUAGAUAUUAGGAAGAACACCAGUGGCGAAGGCGGCUCACUGGCCCGGUACUGACGCUGAGGCGCGAAAGCGUGGGGAGCAAACAGG